CCUCAAAUCAGGUAGGACUACCCGCUGAACUUAAGCAUAUCAAUAAGCGGAGGAAAAGAAACUAACAAGGAUUCCCCUAGUAACUGCGAGUGAAGCGGGAAAAGCUCAAAUUUAAAAUCUGGCAGUCUUGCUGUCCGAGUUGUAAUCUGGAGAAGCAUUUUCUGUGUCGGACCGUGUACAAGUCUCUUGGAAUAGAGCGUCAUAGAGGGUGAGAAUCCCGUCCAUGACACGGACUCCCGAUGCUUUGUGAUAUGCUCUCGAAGAGUCGAGUUGUUUGGGAAUGCAGCUCAAAAUGGGUGGUAAAUUCCAUCUAAAGCUAAAUAUUGGCGAGAGACCGAUAGCGAUCAAGUACCGUGAGGGAAAGAUGAAAAGCACUUUGGAAAGAGAGUUAAACAGUACGUGAAAUUGUUGAAAGGGAAACGCUUGAAGUCAGUCGCGUUGUCUGAGACUCAGCCUUGCUUUUGCUCGGUGUACUUCCUGGUUGACGGGUCAGCAUCAAUUUUGACCGGUGGAAAAAGGCCAGUUGAAUGUGGCACCUUCGGGUGUGUUAUAGCUUCUGGUCGUAUACAUCGGUUGGGAUUGAGGAACUCAGCACGCCGCAAGGUCGGGGUUCGCCCACGUUCGUGCUUAGGAUGCUGGCAUA
rnacentral:rRNA from 1 species